rnacentral:tRNA from 1 species
GCGGAUGUGGUGGAAUUGGUAGACACGCUGGAUUUAGGUUCCAGUGCCUUCAUGGCGUGGGAGUUCAAGUCUCCCCAUCCGCA